AGGGAAUCUUCCACAAUGGGCGAAAGCCUGAUGGAGCAACGCCGCGUGAGUGAAGAAGGAUUUCGGUUCGUAAAACUCUGUUGUAAGGGAAGAACAAGUACAGUAGUAACUGGCUGUACCUUGACGGUACCUUAUUAGAAAGCCACGGCUAACUACGUGCCAGCAGCCGCGGUAAUACGUAGGUGGCAAGCGUUGUCCGGAAUUAUUGGGCGUAAAGCGCGCGCAGGUGGUCCUUUAAGUCUGAUGUGAAAGCCCACGGCUCAACCGUGGAGGGUCAUUGGAAACUGGGGGACUUGAGUGCAGAAGAGGAUAGUGGAAUUCCAAGUGUAGCGGUGAAAUGCGUAGAGAUUUGGAGGAACACCAGUGGCGAAGGCGACUAUCUGGUCUGUAACUGACACUGAGGCGCGAAAGCGUGGGGAGCAAAC
rnacentral:rRNA from 1 species